CCUACGGGUGGCAUCAGUGAGGAAUAUUGGUCAAUGGGCGCGAGCCUGAACCCGCCAAGUAGCGUGCAGUCUGACUGCCCUACGGGUUGUAAACUCCUUUUAUAAAAGAAUAAAGUGAGGAACGUGGGCCUUUUUGUAUGUACUUUAUGAAUAAGAAUCGGCUAACUCCGUGCCAGCAGCCGCGGUAAUAAGGAGGAUCCGAGCGUUAUCCGGAUUUAUUGGGUUUAAAGGGAGCGUAGAUGGGUUGUUAAGUCAGUUGUGAAAGUUUGCGGCUCAACCGUAAAAUUGCAAUUGAUACUGGCAGCCUUGAGUACAGUUGAGGUAGGCGGAAUUCGUGGUGUAGCGGUGAAAGGCUUAGAUAGCACGAAGAACUCCGAUUGCGAAGGCAGCCUACUAAACUGCCACUGACAUUGAUGCUCGAAAGUGUGGGUAUCAAACAGGAUUAGAUACCCUUGUAGUC
rnacentral:rRNA from 1 species